rnacentral:lncRNA from 1 species
GGUUGGUAGUAAAUUUAAUGCAUUAUUCUUUCUAAUUUUCUAUUUCCAAUUUAACAUCCUGGUUAGUAUUCACACAGGAUAUCCAAUAGAAAUAGAAAUGAUUGCAAAGCUAGAAAAUAAUAAAACAUAUUUAAGUUUUCUGGUAUCUGUAUAUUCUUUCAUAAUAUUGGGAUAACAAAAUUUCCCUCUAUGACGUGUUGGUGUUACAUAAAUGAAAAAAAUGAUUUUUUGGAUUUUUUUUCUAUCUCUUAUGUGCUACAACUUCUCUCCUGAUACACAAUAGAGCAAUUAUCUGACUGCGAGACAUAACCGAAUUUUGACUUUUGUUGAUAUUUCUAUUUACAUUCUUUUAUCUAUUACUCUAAAUUUAGUCAAUUGUCUAUAUAUACACAUAUAUAAACGUCUAUAUUUUAUAUAUACACAUAUAUAAACCUCUAUAUUUUAUAUAUACACAUAUAUAAACCUCUAUAUUUUAUAUAUACACAUAUAUAAACCUCUAUAUUUUAUAUAUACACAUAAAUAAACCUCUAUAUUUUAUAUAUACACGUAUAUAAACCUCUAUAUUUUAUAUAUACACGUAUAUAAACCUCUAUAUUUUAUAUAUACACGUAUAUAAAACUCUAUAUUUUAUAUAUACAUAUAUAAAACUCUAUAUUUUAUAUAUACAUAUAUAAACUCUAUAUUUUAUAUAUAUACAUAUAUAAACUCUAUAUUUUAUAUAUAUACACAUAUAAACUCUAUAUUUUAUAUAUAUACACAUAUAAACUCUAUAUUUUAUAUAUAUACACAUAUAAACUCUAUAUUUUAUAUAUAUACACAUAUAAACUCUAUAUUUUAUAUAUAUACACAUAUAAACUCUAUAUUUUAUAUAUAUACACAUAUAAACUCUAUAUUUUAUAUAUAUACACAUAUAAACUCUAUAUUUUAUAUAUAUACAUAUAUAUAUAACCGUGUUUAUAUAUAUAUAGUGCAUCUAAGCUUUUCAUACAGUUUUAGAGGGGUAUUUUAAAAUAUUAAAUGAUUUUUAAUUUGAAUUUGAAGACUAUAAAUUGUCUUUCACACAUUUUCUUUUACAUUUCCUUCUUGUUGAGCUAAGCUGUUAGAUAUUGGUUUUUCUCAUAUAAAUUUUAAUUACAAUAAUAAUUACAUUUUUCAAAAACUGACUGGUUUUACAAUAUAAUAUUCCCAAGUAGUUAUACAUUCAUUCUUACAUAUUUAACUAUUUUUUUCUGACUAAGUUACAUAUUUAACUACUUUUUUCUGACUAAGAAUAUUACUUUUUUUCUGCUUAAAAAUUUUUUUUAUUAAGAUUAUAUAAUCUAAAAAAGACUUGAAAGUUCCAAUGCAGGAGCAGAUACAGGAAUCAUUCAAUAAAAUUGGGAUUGACAACAGGUAUAAGUUUAAAAGAGGUGUACUUGAAUUCAGAUCUUAAGCCAGGACCCGAAAUUAAAAUUAAACUGUAUUUGUUGAGCAAUUCUAAGACACAUAAACCAUAGGAAUUAGGAUAAAACCAUUCAGAAAGACUACUAGUUAAUUCAAUUGAUUUUCUGUUAAUAGAAAAUGCUAAUUAAUAAGAAUUUAUUUGUAAGAUCAGGCUUGAAAGUGAAUAUGUACUUACCCAAAAUUUCACAUUCCGUCCUACAUUAUCAUAUGUGUUUGCUUUUCUCUUUUCAACAAAGCUCCUGUUCACAGAGAGCUCAUGUCAUUUCUUUUGUUGAGUCCUGUCACCUUUGCCAAUAGUUUAUCACAGGGAUUUGAUAAAACAAUUUUAAAAUAACUCAGCUGGGUGUGGUGGCUCAUGCCUGUAAUCUCAGCACUUUGGGAGGCCAAGGUGGGUGGAUCGCUGGAGCCCAGGAGUUCAACAGCCUGGGCUGUAGCAGGACGAGCAGAGGACAAAACCUCACAGACACCGAGGAAGUGAAGGAAGUGGCUUUAAUCAACUGGAAGCAACAGCAGACUAAUGUCUCAAAAUCUGAGCUUCUCGAGUGCACAAUUUCUCUCCCUUUUAAGGGCUCACAAUGCUGAAGAUUUUACAUGAAAGGGCAGUGCUUGAUUGAGCAAUCUAGGGGGUAUGUGACAGGGGCUGCAUGCACUGGUAGUCAGAGUGAAACAGAACAGAACGGGAAGUUUCCCAAUGUCCUUCCAUACAAUGUCUGGAAUCUAUGGAUAACAUCAGUUGCUAGGUCAUGGGUUGAAUUUUAACUACCAGGUUAGGUCUGGCAGGCCCAGGUCUGGUUUUGGGUCUGGUUUUGGGUCUGGUGCCUGGUGCUGGGCUGCCUGCCUUUGGUUUUGCUUCCUUGUUUCUUCUUAAAACAGGUACUGAGCAUAAAACAACAUGGGGGUGUCUCUUUCUCUCUUCUCUCAUUUCCCCCCUUUGAGACCCUCACUUAUUUUAUUAGUGGGAGUUCUCACUUUCAUUUUCACUACUUAUGUCUUCCUGUGCAAUAGAUUGAUAGUGAUUCAUAUAAUAUACUUGUGCUGAAGCAUUCUGGUGAACUAGGGUAGCAAUGAAGCUUUUUAUCAUUUGAAGAAGUACAGGUAGCAAACAAGGGAGUAGUAAGCAGGUUCCUAUUACUAUUAUAACUCCUAUUAUAAGAGUUUCAAAUCCUCCUAUUGCUGGGAACCAAGUUCCAAACAUGGCCCCAGGAUCAAAUCCCUGCCACACUUGCACAGGUACAUGUGCCAGUUUUGUUAUAUCUUUAACUAUGUCUUCAGCUAAUUGCCCCUGAUAAUCUAUGUGUAGACAGCAAUUAGUAAGGUUAAAUUUUCCACAAACCCCUCCUUCAGCUGCUAGCAAGUAGUUGAGAGCUAGUCUAUUUUGGUAGAUAGCAUUUCUCAUCUGAGUCUCUUGCCGGACAAGAACAGUCAAGGCUGGACCGGUUUUAUUAGUAAUAAUUUCUGAAACAGCUUGUAACCAUAUGAUUUGGUUGAGCAUGUAGAUGGGGAUCUGAUAUACCUAUGAGCCAUCUUGUGCCCAAGUGGUGGGCCCCUAGUAUUGUAUAUUUCUUUCAGGGGGCCAUUCAUCAUCUUUCCUGUUACCUAUGGCUAGGCUUCGCUUUUCGCAGGAAGCAUAGACAGGGAAUCCUAGGAGUUUGCCUGUUUUUAUGGGCAGUAGGAAGAAAGAUGGUUUAAUACUGCCAAUUACACAACUACCUGUCCACUGAUCAGGUAGCUUAGCAUAGGCUCUAAGUCCACAUAUCCAGUAUAACACAGUAGGGGCUGUCCAGUCCCGGUGCAAUUCUGGAUGGGCCCAAAUGGCCUGUAAUCUUGGAUAUUUACUGAAUGGAUUUUUUUUUCUGUGUGGUUUGAACUCCACCAUGUAACUGUUUUUAUGGUACCAUUAUACAGUUUCUGUCCAAGACAACUAAGCAAUCCUACAGGAUGAGUGAAUUAUUUUCCUUCUCUAGCUAUGCAAUAUUGCCCAGUAACUGAGACUUUUAGAACCCAGAAAUUGUCAGGGUGGUUCUUUUGGGCUGGGAAUUCAUCAGGAACUGGGUCCGUAGGGACUAAUUCUCAGUCUUCCCAUGGCCAUUGAUCUUCUGUUACAGUUCCUCCACAGACAUAACAUGAAGUGACUUUUAAAGACUGUGCUACAUGCUCGGCUAAUUGCAAAAACAAAUUUCUAGUUUUUCCUGGAAUCUCAGGUACUGGCACAUUUAGUUCAUCAUAGAAAGUCUGAAAUACUGGCUCUGGAGAGCAUUUUUGAACCUCCCCUUUUAUUAAGAUAUUUACUCUAGGAUCUAGUCCUUUUCCAUCAAUGCCUAGAGAUACGUGCUCUCCUUUUUCCCACUUUGGGUCUGAGGGAUUUAUAAUUAUUAAUUCUAAAGGGUAGCAGCUUCCAUUUGUGCAGGAGGGGCUGCUUUUUCCUUUUUGGAGCCAAACAAUAUCUUUUUAAUCUUUUUUCCAAGUAGCCCAGAUGAUACAAGACCAGUACUGACACACAUUUGUACAUGAAUAUGAUUCAUGGCAGACAUACUUAUUUCCUGCUGUGUAACUCUUUUCCCAAUCUCUAGAACAGCAUCCUAGUCCUUGCUGAUUACUAUUAAUAGUGGCCCAAGUGUCAAAUUUUAGAGUUUCAUGUUUGGGGACCCCUCUUUCUUCUGUUCUAGCUAUUACUUUACUUGUGUCACCUAGAAAAGGACCAGUGCUUAGUCUUAUUUCAAAAACCGUGAUCAUGGGAGGUUCAGAGGGGUCAUAGCACACAUCUGGCUGAUCACUUCUUGGAUUACAUACUUUGUACUGAGUGUUAUUAUAUAAACAGGUUCCUUUUCGAGUUCCUGGGCACUCAUAAAAACUAUAGAACAAAAAGAUUGUCUUAACUUGUUGUCCUACCUCAGUGAUCUGAUGCAUGCACUGAAAGCAGUCCUCUGUGUGGGAAGAAGCAGUGGAAGCUUUUACCACACAAGUCCGUGUCAUGAGGAAAAUAAGUCCCACGACGAUUUUCCUCAUGCUUCCACCAUGUGUAGAUCAGUCAGCUUCUGGGUGUGACUGAAGCAGGGCUUGUGGUCCUCCUCAUGGUCACUUUACGGGGAUUGUCCAGGCUUGGUUUGGCCUCCCAGGUUUCAGUGGCUGCAGGCUUUAAGCAGCUGUGGUGAAUCCAGGCCGGGAUUCCUUCCACCUUUACAGCUGUGGGAGUGGUCAGGAUAAUGGUCUGGGGUCCUUUCCACUGUGCCCGCAAAGGGGCUACGUUCCAGUCCUGGAUCCACAUACGGUCACCUGGAGAAAAAGGGUGAACUGGGGAGAAUAAGCUGACAGGGUACCUCUCAUUUACCCAAGUUGCGAUUGUCUCAGUAAUUUUCCCCAAGGCCUGUAGCUGUCACUGCAAUUCAAUUUCACCCAACUCUUGGGGAGUACCCGGAAGUCCUCGCAGUAUAGGAGGAGGCCUAUGAUAUAAUAUUUCAUAAGGGGAGUAUCCUGUUUUCUUAAAGGGGUACACCUAAUUUUAAACAAUACCAUAGGAAGGGCCUGUAUCCAUUUUAAUCCUGUCUCUUGACAUACUUUCCCUAAACUAUUUUUGAUAGUCCGAUUCAUUCGCUCCACCUUUCCGGAACUCUGAGGUCGGUAGGCAGCAUGUAACUUCCAUGUGAUUCCCAGUACCUUUGCUGUCUUCUGUACUAAGUCAGCCACAAAUGCCGGCUCAUUAUCUGAGCCGAUCCAUAGAGGCAGUCCAAACCUAGGGAUGAGAUCUCUAAGAAGCACACGGGUUACUUCACCAGCUUUUGCAGUUUGUGUCGGAUAAGCCUCUACCCACCCAGAGUAAGUACACACUAGAAUCAGUAAAUACUUGUUACCUCCGCAUUAGGGAAUCUCUGAGAAGUCCACUUGAAGAUCUUCAAAAGGAGCUGCUCCAUAGGCUUGUAUGCUGGGAGGAACAGAGGGGCCUUGCUUUGCAUUGUGCUGUUGACAGGUAAUGCAUCGCUGCACUACUGUUUUAGUAAGAGCUGGCAAGUGUGAGAUGUAGAAGUACCGGCUUAACAGCUUUUCAAGUGACUCUUGGCCUAAAUGGGUAGUUUCAUGUACAGCUAGCACGACUGGGGCUCCUAGCAGCUAUUCUCCCAUCUGGUAACUUUAUCCAUCCUUCUUUUAUUGUUUGUCCUCCCUCUGCCUGAAGAAAGUCUUUUUCCUCUUUAGAAUAAAUAGGGACCAGAGCAGGUGUUUGAGGGAGUAGAGGGGCUGUGACUGAUGCCCGGUAGGGAGUCGAUGCUGCUUUUCAUGCCUCUGUGUCUGCUCGGGAGUUUCCUCAGCUCACUGAGGUGGAAACUCACUGGUGUCCCCUGCAAUGCAUGACUGCCACCUUUUGCGGUUUCCACACUGCCUCAAAUAAUUGUAGAAUUUCUUGUUGAUAUUUUAUGUCCUUUCCCCCAGAAUUUAACAGGGCUUUUUCUUUAUAUAAUGCCCCAUGUACUUGAAGGGUUAGAAAGUCAUAUCGAGAGUAAGUAUAAAUGUUUAUAGUUUUACCUUCACUGAGUUCUAGAGCCUGAGUUAAAGCAAUAAGUUCUGCUUUCUGGACCGAAGUGCCCUGAGGCAAUGACUUGGCUUCAAUAACAUUAUCCGAGGUUACCACCACAUAUCCUGCACAUCUUUCUCCUCGUGGGUUGAUGAAGCUGCUCUCAUCCGUGUAUAAGUCCCAGUCUACUGAUGCCCAUGACUGGUCUUGAAGAUCGGGUCUGCUAGAAUAGACUGAGUCCAACACCUCUACACAGUUAUGUUCAACAGGGCUGUCUGAUACUGGGAGCAAGGUGGCAGGAUUUAAAGUAUUAUAGAGUUCAGUGGUUAUGGAGGGGUUUUCACACAAUAAGCUUUGGUACUUGGUUAAUCUAGCAUUCGUUAUCCAAUGGUGUCCUUUGGUAUUCAUUAAAGUUACCACCACAUGGGAGGCCUUUAUAUUUAAGUUUUGCCCAAGAGUUAGCUUAUCUGCUUCUUGUGCUAACAGGGCUGUAGCUGCCAUGGCUUUCAGACAUGGAGGCCAGCCUUUUGAAACUCCGUCUAGCUGUUUUGAGAGGUAGGCCACUGGUCUUGGCCAGGGCCCCACAGUUUGAGUUAAAACUCCGAAUGCCAUUUUUUCUCUUUCUGACACAUAAAGUGUGAAGGGCUUGGUCAAAUCUGGUAGUCCCAGAGCUGGGGCUGACAUAAGUUUUUCUUUUAACUUACAAAAGGCUUGCUGUUGUAGAGGCCUCCAUUCAAAGGGCUCCCAUUCGCCCCCCUUUGUAGCCCCAUACAAUGGUUUGGCUAGCACAGCAAAGUUUGGAAUCCAUAAUCUGCAAAACCCCACAGCUCCUAGAAAUUCCCUUACUUGCCUUCUGGUUUUAGGUUCCAGUAGACUGCAGAUGACCUGCUUUCUUUCUGACCCCAGGCUGCGCUCCCCUGUCUGCAGAUCUGAGCUUUCUUCUUGGACACCUUAUAUCCACAGUCCUUCAGGUGCUGAAGUAGGGCAUCCAUCCCUUUUGCACACCCGAUGCCACGAAGUGUCCCAGCAGAAGGUCAUCCAUAUACUGGAGCAAGACACAGCCUAGGCCUUUAGCAGGAAACUUCUGGAGGUCUUGAGCCAAUGCCUCCCCGAAGAUGGUGGGGGAAUUUUUGAACCCUUGGGGAAGCUGAGUCCAAGUGUACUGAGUGGUGACACCUGACCCCGGGUCUUGCCACUGAAAGACAAACAGCUUUUGGCUCUCAGCAGCUAGUCUGAUGAUAAAGAAGGCAUCCUUCAAGUCCAGGCAAGUGGUGAACCAGCCCUCCUCAGCCGGCAGCAAUCCCAACAGUGUGUAAUGGUUAGGAACAGUUGGGUGCAGAGUCACGAUAGCUUGGUUAACCAAGCAUAAGUCCUGUAUGGGUCAAUAGUCCUUGGUCCCUGGCUUGGGGACAGGUAGGAGGGGGUGUUCCAUGCAGACUGGCAAGGAACUAUAAUUCCAAAAGCUUUCAAGCAUCUAAGAUGAGCCUGUAUUCCUUCAAGAGCUUCCCUGGGAACCAGAUACUGCUUUUGUCUGAUUGGCUGGACCCCAGGCUUAACUUCUUAUUCCCUACUUUAUGUUGGAAGUUCUGACAAAGAAGACAAA